CAGCAGCCGCGGGAAUACGGAGGGUGCAAGCGUUAAUCGGAAUUACUGGGCGUAAAGCGCACGCAGGCGGUCUGACAAGUCAGAUGUGAAGUCCCCGGGCUUAACCUGGGAACCGCAUUUGAAACUGUCAGGCUGGAGUCUUGUAGAGGGGGGUGGAAUUCCAGGUGUAGCGGUGAAAUGCGUAGAGAUCUGGAGGAAUACCGGUGGCGAAGGCGGCCCCCUGGACAAAGACUGACGCUCAGGUGCGAAAGCGUGGGGAGCAAACAGGAUUAGAUACCCCCUAGUCCCUGUCUCUUAUACA
rnacentral:rRNA from 1 species